GAAGCUGACCAGACAGUCGCCGCUUCGUCGUCGUCCUCCUUCGGGGGGAGACGGGCGGAGGGGAGGAAAGUCCGGGCUCCAUAGGGCAAGGUGCCAGGUAACGCCUGGGGGGUGUCACAGCCCACGACCAGUGCAACAGAGAGCAAACCGCCGAUGGCCCGCGCAAGCGGGAUCAGGUAAGGGUGAAAGGGUGCGGUAAGAGCGCACCGCGCGGCUGGUAACAGUCCGUGGCACGGUAAACUCCACCCGGAGCAAGGCCAAAUAGGGGUUCAUAAGGUACGGCCCGUACUGAACCCGGGUAGGCUGCUUGAGCCAGUGAGCGAUUGCUGGCCUAGAUGAAUGACUGUCCACGACAGAACCCGGCUUAUCGGUCAGUUUCACUC
rnacentral:RNase_P_RNA from 14 species